GAUGAAGAACGCAGCGAAAUGCGAUAAGGAGUGUGAAUUGCAGAAUUCAGUGAAUCAUCGAAUCUUUGAACGCACAUUGCUCCCCUUGGUAUUCCAUGGGGCAUGCCUGUUCGAGCGUCAUUUGUACCUUCAAGCUCUGCUUGGUGUUGGGUGUUUGUCUCGCCUCUGCGUGUAGACUCGCCUCAAAACAAUUGGCAGCCGGCGUAUUGAUUUCGGAGCGCAGUACAUCUCGCGCUUUGCACUCAUAACGACGACGUCCAAAAGUACAUUUUUACACUCUUGACCUCGGAUCAGGUAGGGAUACCCGCUGAACUUAAGCAUAUCAAUAAGCGGAGGA
rnacentral:misc_RNA from 1 species